rnacentral:rRNA from 1 species
CCUACGGGGGGCAGCAGUGGGGAAUAUUGGACAAUGGGGGCAACCCUGAUCCAGCCAUGCCGCGUGUGUGAAGAAGGCCCUCGGGUUGUAAAGCACUUUCAGAGGAAGAACGCCUGUUGGUUAAUACCCAUCAGGAAAGACAUCACUCACAGAAGAAGCACCGGCUAACUCCGUGCCAGCAGCCGCGGUAAUACGGAGGGUGCGAGCGUUAAUCGGAAUUACUGGGCGUAAAGCGCGCGUAGGUGGCUUGAUAAGCCGGUUGUGAAAGCCCCGGGCUCAACCUGGGAACGGCAUCCGGAACUGUCAAGCUAGAGUGCAGGAGAGGAAGGUAGAAUUCCCGGUGUAGCGGUGAAAUGCGUAGAGAUCGGGAGGAAUACCGGUGGCGAAGGCGGCCUUCUGGACUGACACUGACACUGAGGUGCGAAAGCGUGGGUAGCAAACAGGAUUAGAUACCCCGGUAGUC